rnacentral:rRNA from 1 species
UAGCAUAUCAAUAAGCGGAGGAAAAGAAACUAACAAGGAUUCCCCUAGUAACUGCGAGUGAAGCGGGAAAAGCUCAAAUUUGAAAUCUGGCAGCCUUUGGUUGUCCGAGUUGUAAUCUAGAGAAGUGUUACCCGCGUUGGACCGUGUAAAAGUCUCCUGGAAUGGAGCGUCAUAGAGGGUGAGAAUCCCGUCUUUGACACGGACUGCCAAGGCUUUGUGGUAUGCUCUCAAAGAGUCGAGUUGUUUGGGAAUGCAGCUCAAAAUGGGUGGUAAAUGCCAUCUAAAGCUAAAUAUUGGCGAGAGACCGAUAGCGAACAAGUACCGUGAGGGAAAGAUGAAAAGAACUUUGGAAAGAGAGUUAAACAGUACGUGAAAUUGCUGAAAGGGAAACGCUUAAAGUCAGUCGCGUCGGCUGGGAAUCAACCUCGCUUUUGCUUGGUGUACUUUCCAGUUGAUGGGUCAGCAUCAAUUUCGACCAGUGGAUAAAGGCAGAGGGAAUGUGGCUCCUUCUGGAGUGUUAUAGCCCUUUGUUGUAUACAUUGGUUGGGAUUGAGGAACUCAGCAUGCCGUAAGGCCAGGUUUCGACCAUGUCCAUGCUCAGGAUGCUGGCAAAAUGGCUUUAAUCGACCCGUCUUGAAACACGGACCAAGGAGUCUAACAUGCUUGCGAGUGUUUGGGUGGAAAACCCUUGCGCGUAAUGAAAGUGAAAGUUGAGAUCCCUGUCGUGGGGAGCAUCGACGCCCGGACCUGAAGUUUACUGACGGAUCCGCGGUAGAGCACGUAUGUUGGGACCCGAAAGAUGGUGAACUAUGCCUGAAUAGGGUGAAGCCAGAGGAAACUCUGGUGGAGGCUCGUAGCGAUUCUGACGUGCAAAUCGAUCGUCAAAUUUGGGUAUAGGGGCGAAAGACUAAUCGA